UACGAAGGGGCUAGCGUUGUUCGGAAUUACUGGGCGUAAAGCGCGCGCAGGCGGCUAUCCAAGUCAGUGGUGAAAGCCCGGAGCUCAACUCCGGAACUGCCAUUGAAACUGUUUAGCUUGAGGACGAGAGAGGUGAGUGGAAUUCCCAGUGUAGAGGUGAAAUUCGUAGAUAUUGGGAAGAACACCGGUGGCGAAGGCGGCUCACUGGCUCGUAUCUGACGCUCAGGCGCGAUAGCGUGGGAUCAAACAGG
rnacentral:rRNA from 1 species